UAUAGUUGGUUGAAAUAAAAACACAAAAAUGGUUAAUUCAGAAAAUAUGUCUGUAUUUUUAACUCUAUAGAUUCUAUUACAGUUAUCAAGGUUUGAAAUAUUCGUGAUUUUAGAAGUAUUGGUUGAUUUUGUAAGUUGCAAUGAUCGGAGUAUUUCAGUAGGUCAAUUCUAAGUCAGUGACUUUGGAGGUUGGCGUGUGCGAAUGAUUUUUCGAGGGCGAAUUUAUCUCUUCCUGGACAAUUUUAAGGUAGCGGAGUUUGGACUUAACUCUACCUAAGGUAGUCACUGUGCUCCAUAGUAAUGCCAGCCGACUAUGAAAUGUUAGUGGCACACAGUCCUCCGGUCUCUGCAGACUUCUUUUCAAACUUCGCGAGCUACAGGCUGAGAUACAAGCAUCCUCCAGCCUGUUCCUAUAUCCGUCCCCUACAGUUCGGCUCCCAACUACCUGCUCAACACACUUCCCCGCCUCUACAGCCUCAAACUAAUUCGCAUUCUACAUUAUUAAAAAUGCCAGUAGCAGUUCCAAGGCGUCCCUGCCUCGUCGUACGGCCUGAGGACACCUCUAGUUCUUCGGAUGAGAAUGAUCUUCCAAGCCCAACUCGACUGAAAAAGAAGGUUGUGUUUGCCGAUGAUAAGGGUCUGUCAUUAACACAGGUUCGCGUAAUGACUGAACCGUCGAACGUCCCUCCAGCUUUCAGUUUUCAGUUCCUUGCCCAAGUAACAAGAGGCAUCUCGGCCGAAGUAGUACCUGAACCUUGGGAAGUGACGUUCCAACAACCCGCCUCGGAUUACCUGGACUUCCGCAAGCGUCUGGAUACGGGAAAUGUCUCUCUUGAGAACGUUAUCGUCCGCGAAGCCGAGGACAUUGUCGUGGGUACCGUGAAAGUGCGAAAUGUCGCUUACCACAAAGAAGUAUUUGUCCGAUCAACGUCUGACGAAUGGAGAACACAUGAAGAUGCCUACUGUACAUUCGUCAAUAACAACUCCACGGUCUCUGCAGCUGCAUCGUAUGUCUUGUACGAUACGUUCUCAUUCCGUCUUACUUUGCCGCCCCGUUCGGUCCGAAUUGAGUUCUGCGUGUGUUUUCGGUGUGAAGGAGCCGAGUACUGGGACAGUAACUCGGGAAAGAACUAUGUCCUUCUCAAGAAGUCUUCCAGCAACGAAGAAGAAUUGCUCUUGCUCAAGCUGAGGCGCAGUAAAGGCGAUACCUUGCCCGUCGAGAAUGCAGUCAGGUGUGCUGAUGCUGUUCAUGCCAAACUUGAUUCUUGGUCAGAAUUUGCGAGUUGGAACCAUUUGGAUAAUAGCACUCCAUAUUGGUGACUUGCCCCAUUCGAUUCGCUCCUUCCGUGCGGAGUAACAUCAUCGGUGGUACUCUGUUUCUCCGGAUCUUGCGAGGACUCUGCCACGCCUAGAAUGAACCAUUCAAAAGAAUGCCGUUUGAAGAUUGUGUCAGCAGUUUGUUUUCCACGUGCAGUCUCUCUACCUAAAGCUGCUAGUCUCCAAUACUUCACCCACCUGACUAUGUUUAUCCUAAUGUAACUCAUGUUACAAUAAACCGUACAUAAGUUCAGAUUCUGGUAUGCACCAGAAUCAACUGAUAGCAGUGGUGCAGCAUUCAGACAAGAAGGGGACUGAAUAAAUGUUCCAGACAAUGAAUUCUGCUUUGUACAAAUGCUGUUGGGAGAAACAAAGAUUGAAGGCAAGAGAUUAAUGAGGCAAUUUGCAUAAACCAAUCCGAGCAACACGACGGAAUUAAGCAAAAGGCUGAUGGCACUAUCUCCCUGGCUUGGUUUAUUUAUUUCGCAUGAUUUAUUAUUCCUUUCGUGGUUGACUUAUCUCUUAUUUGUAAAGCUUUCUUGUUUCAGUCAAUUUUUUGUUUUUGCGUCGUAUAUUUUGAAAGCCAAGUUUCUAAUGAAAAUUAAAUUGCCACUACCGUGUGUUAGAAAAACUGCUUUACAACAAAAUCUUCAGUAUUCAAAUUUCAUAAGAAGUCCAAUAGACAUUAAUGUAUUUCCAUUUAGGCGCCUCGUGUAUAAAGUGAGUCAUGUGAUAAGCUAUGAAAGUCACAAAUAAUGAAGCAUGGAGCGAUGACUUUGUGUACUGGAAAUUGUAAUGUUCUUAAAUGUUAAGCAAGCAGUUCUUUUGCUCAAGAUUAUUUCUAGUGAAUGCUGAUGUGUGAAAACUAGUCAACUCAGGGUUAGUGCCAUACAAUCAAAUUAUUUUAAUAUAUUUUAGCAAUGAAUAUUAUUGCUGGUUUCAAAGUUAGGAUUACAAAAGUGUUGUAUGAAACCACAAACUGGUACACAAGCGACUUGCAAUUAAUAGCGUGGAUAAUAUUAAACUUCCGGCUUCGAGCAAUAAGUAACAUUCUGCGUGAGAGAAAUGCUGAGGACAUGUUAAUAUCAAUAUUCCGUAUUUUUUGAGAUAUUUAAUUCAUCGCUAUGAAGGAAGAUAAAUUUUUUUAUGAAAACUAUAAUUUUUAUGAGAAACUGUGUUGUGGUUGAUUUAUUUAUCUGAAUACUGAUGAAGUGAAGUGUUAACUUAAAACCUGUGAUAGAUGCAUGAUGAAUGUUUUGGUACAGAGUGCUGAGCAUAAGUGUCUAAACUUCGUAAUUCCCACUGAAGAAUGAACAUGAAGCGUGUGUUUGCAUGAAAAGUGACUUUAUUUGAAUGGUAUAUUUGAGAAAAUGAAGACUGAAAGUAAUUGAAAAGCAACUUAAUUAUGUUUGCCACAAUCCUCACUGUACAUUUUUCAAUAUUAAUGUUUUAUAAUGCUGGGCUGAGAAUUUUAUACCUAGAAGCUCACCAGUAUAUAUUUUUUGUAAAAAUAAACAACUAGAGGCUACGGUUGAUAAAACACUCGAGCAGUCUUGACUGAUUAUUAUUUUUAAUAUGUAAAUUUUUUUAUUAACGAGUUUGUGCCCUCCAGUGAGUUAUGUAGUGUAAUAUGAGUGAACAAUAGUUCUUGUACAUAAUUAGGAAGCUUGUUAAUCAAAUAUAGUUGUUUCUGGCACUGAGGGUACUUACACGCAGCAGAAUUGGCAGGAUUUUUACUUGAGAAAUUUCUGUAAAUUUUGGUAUAUAGUAUAUUUUGUAUUUUUUUACAAUACUUAAAAAUAUAUGAAUGUAGUGGGCAUCAAUGUAUAACUUAUCACUGCAACAUACCAUUCUUUUACAUACAUUUCUUUCAAUGAAAGAUGCGACUUUACAAAAAUAGGCUUAAUCUUACGAGGGGAUAUAUUUUUCAUAUUGAAGCAGUCCCCAUGUUUAGCUGUCCUUGUGGCUGAAUUUUUAAGAUUCUUUUUAUGCACUGUUAAUAACCUGAAAUGUAGUGGGUGUGAGCAAUUAAAUUUGCAUACUAUUUUCUCAUUUUAAAGUCUGUAUAAAUAGUCGCUCAUGUAUAAUAUGCUAUUAUUGUACAGUUGUAACAUGCAAAUGUUAUAUUUUGGGAUAGAAAGGAACAUAUUUCAUGAAUUUACAUUAUGACGUAUUGUUGAGGUCAUAUUUUUUUUCUGUCAUUUUCUAGUCAAAUCUUAGCUGAUUUUCUUCCUAAACUCUUAGCUCUGGGAACAUACUACUCGUUGAGCGGUAGACGCUACAUAUUCAUCGAUUGUAAUACUUGAAAACAAGAGACUGAUUAGCUUUUACUUACAAUGCGUAAGCAUCCUUUUGAAUAAUUAGAAAUACUGGUUCCUAUAUACACACUGUCCUUUCAUUCACUUAUCAUAUUUAUACAGUUGUGCCACUGUCUGAUGUGAAUUGUACAUUAACAAAAUUAUUUUAAUUUGCAGAUAACCACAGAUUAUUAUGAGACUGGAUUUACAAGAGCUUACCCAUUUUGCUGAUGAGAUAGUUCUAAAAAUUAUUUUCUGGGAUUAAAAUUGUACACAAGCAAAUGGGAUGGACACAGAACAAAGUAUUUGAAAUAAGAGGAAAGGUAACUGAAGGAUUUGAAAAUCUCGUUCUGAUAAACUGCAUGUGUCACUCUGCUGCUAGAACGGUUGUCGAAUAUUGUAAGAAGAUAAGAAAUGAUGCAUAUGAGAAACAUUUCUGGACAAACUUGCUUUAUGAUACUGGAUAGGUGCGACAUGUCUAAAAGUCGGCAUAAUUUAAUAAAUUCUGCCUCUCAUUUUAAUCUCAAGACAGAAUAUCGUUAAUGUAGUGAACAGAAUUGUAAGCGUAUUUUCAUGUAGAUAUUGUAUAUAAUGCAUAUCAGCAUAUCCUGUUUUGCAAACUAAAGUUUAUGUUCAUUCACAGUUAUAACUAAAAUUUUCUGUGCAAGAAGCAAUACUAAUAUUGAUAAUGUUUUGAAUGUCAAAUUAUGUGCACGGACAAUGUAAAUAAGCGCUACUUAUAUGAGAACGAGACUGCAUAAAAAUAAGUCGCAAUGUCAGUUCACAUUCUAAAUGUUGCGCAUUUAUAAGGGAGUGGAAUAUACAAUUUUGAUUAUGUUUCCUAUACCAGCUUCUGGCUUUUUUUUGUAAAUACAAUGUGUCUCAUUUCACACAAGUAGUUACAAGAUGAAAAGUUACGUCACACACAUAAAAUUGACAGAAAAUAGUUAAAAUUACAUAGAUUAUUUAUACACACAUUAAUUUUGUUUAGAAACAUAUAUACCCGCAAUGUAUGUAAAUAAUAUCAGCUGAUGCUCAUUUUAGCUUGCUCUGCUAACUGGUUUGAUAUUAUGAAUUAAAGAGAAUAUUAUAAAGCAGAAAUAUUUCCCAUUAAUGGUUCAUGUUACUGUAAAUUUUUUUAUGGAAUUCUCUAACAUGAUAUAUACUUAAAUAAUUUAGAAAACUAUUAAAAUGGUUUGUGAAUAAUAUGAUAGUUUAUAUAUACCUAUUCUACUCAUUUUAAGGUAAAUUAUACAAAUUAAAAUAAAGGAAAUGGAGCUGGAAA